rnacentral:rRNA from 1 species
UUCGCAAUGCCCGAAAGGGUGACGAAGCGACGCCGCGUGAGCGAAGAAGGCCCUAGGGUUGUAAAGCUCUGUCAGGGGUUAGGAAAUGUAGGUCGGUUAAUACCCGGCUUAUUUGACAAAAGCCCCAAAGGAAGCCACGGCUAACUCUGUGCCAGCAGCCGCGGUAAUACAGAGGUGGCAAGCGUUGUUCGGUAUUAUUGGGCGUAAAGAGCACGUAGGUGGUUUUGUAAGUCAGAUGUGAAAGCCUUCUGUUCAAAGGAAGAACGGCAUCUGAAACUGCGGAUCUUGAGUGUAGGAGGGGAGAGUGGAACUUCUGGUGGAGCGGUGAAAUGCGUAGAUAUCAGAAGGAACGUCGGCGGCGGAAGCGACUCUCUGGCCUAUUACUGACACUGAGUGUGCGAAAGUUAGGGGAGCAAACGGGAUUAGAUACCCCGGUAGUCCUAACCGUAAACGAUGGGCACUAAGUAGAGGGGUUUU